AUACUCUGGUUUCUCUUCAAUUCGUAUAAAUCUUUCGCCUUUUACUAAAGAUUUCCGUGGAGAGGAACAUUCAUGAGUCUGAAUAUUUUUUGAUGCCCUGUAUUUAUACGGGGCG
ensembl:snRNA U5 U5 spliceosomal RNA